rnacentral:tRNA from 1 species
GAGGGUAUAGCUCAGUGGUAGAGCUCGUGCUUAGCAUACACGAAGUCAUGGGUUCAAUCCUCAUUCCCUCCA